rnacentral:rRNA from 1 species
CCUACGGGAGGCUGCAGUGGGGAAUAUUGGACAAUGGGGGGAACCCUGAUCCAGCCAUGCCGCGUGUGUGAAGAAGGCCCUCGGGUUGUAAAGCACUUUCAGUGAGGAAGAACGCCUGGUGGUUAAUACCCAUCAGGAAAGACAUCACUCACAGAAGAAGCACCGGCUAACUCCGUGCCAGCAGCCGCGGUAAUACGGAGGGUGCGAGCGUUAAUCGGAAUUACUGGGCGUAAAGCGCGCGUAGGUGGCUUGAUAAGCCGGUUGUGAAAGCCCCGGGCUCAACCUGGGAACGGCAUCCGGAACUGUCAAGCUAGAGUGCAGGAGAGGAAGGUAGAAUUCCCGGUGUAGCGGUGAAAUGCGUAGAGAUCGGGAGGAAUACCAGUGGCGAAGGCGGCCUUCUGGACUGACACUGACACUGAGGUGCGAAAGCGUGGGUAGCAAACAGGAUUAGAACCCUAGUAGUC